rnacentral:rRNA from 1 species
UACGUAGGGUGCAAGCGUUGUCCGGAAUUAUUGGGCGUAAAGAGCUCGUAGGCGGUCUGUCGCGUCGGCUGUGAAAACCCGGAGCUCAACUCCGGGCCUGCAGUCGAUACGGGCAGACUGGAGUUCGGCAGGGGAGACUGGAAUUCCUGGUGUAGCGGUGAAAUGCGCAGAUAUCAGGAGGAACACCGGUGGCGAAGGCGGGUCUCUGGGCCGAUACUGACGUGAGGAGCGAAAGCGUGGGGAGCAAACAGG